rnacentral:tRNA from 1 species
CUAGUUGAAGCCAAAAUUAGAGGCGUAUCACUGGUUAAUGGAUAUAAAUGAAUAAAAAUAUUCCAACUAAG